rnacentral:misc_RNA from 1 species
GUUCAUACUUAUAAGGAAAUCAACUCUGUUAAACCAAACAAAAUUGUUGUUUUCCGUGAUGGUGUGAGUGAGGGUCAGUUUGAUAUGGUACUCAACGAAGAGUUGCUUGAUUUGGCGAAGGCUAUAUACGACAGUAACUAUCAACCAGCAAUUACUCUUGUUGUGGCUCAGAAGAGACACCAUACACGGCUAUUUCCUGAGGGUGGCCCUGCCAAUGUGCCUCCUGGUACUGUUGUGGAUACAAUAAUUGUUCAUCCCUCUGAUUUUGACUUCUAUCUUUGCAGCCACUUUGGAGGGUUGGGUACCAGCAAGCCAACUCACUAUCAUGUUCUAUGGGAUGAUAAUGGUUUCAAUUCUGACAGCUUACAAAAGCUUAUAUACAACAUGUGUUUCACUUUUGCGCGGUGCACUAAACCUGUCUCACUUGUUCCACCAGUUUACUAUGCAGACCUUGUUGCUUAUAGGGGACGGAUGUUUCAAGAGGUGCUUAUGGAGAUGAACUCUCCUAGCUCUGCAACUUCAUCUUCUCCAACUGCCUCAUUUCAACAAAAAUUUUAUGAUUUGCACUCUGAUUUGCAGAACGUAAUGUUUUUCGUCUGAUGCCACCUUGUUGAUCUCCUUCACCAUUCCCACACUGGGGAGGGAGAUACGGUUGUCUACAUUUUGGAGAUGCCCAUUUCCAAACGCAUUUGAACCUCCUUUCCGUUGGACAUUGCAAAGGAGUUUGUGCGUGAAUCUAAUGGGG